rnacentral:rRNA from 1 species
GAUCAUGGCUCAGGAUGAACGCUAGCUACAGGCUUAACACAUGCAAGUCGAGGGGCAGCAUUUUUAUAGCAAUAUAAAAGAUGGCGGCCGGCGCACGGGUGAGUAACACGUAUCCAACCUGCCGAUAACUCGGGGAUAACCCUUCGAAAGAAGGCCUAAUACCCGAUGGCAUAUCCCUUCCGCCUGGUUGGGAUAUUAAAGAACUUCGGUUAUCGAUGGGGAUGCGUUCCAUUAGCUUGUUGGCGGGGUAACGG